UUACCGGCUUAUGUGGACGCCGCGAAUCCCACAAUAUACGUGCGACAUAGAUUAAAUAAUAAAAAACCAAAUUUAAAAGGAUUUAAAACUAAUAAAACUGAAAAAAAACAAAAAAAACAUAAACUAAACAAAACAGAAAAACUAGAACCCAAAAUAAAAUGAAAAACAAUGAAAAUCCUCUCUUUCCAAAAGCCCUAGAUCCUAUUUUCACCACCGCUCCAUCCUUUCGCGACGGAGUCGGCUCAAGUUCCUUUCAUUUUCCCAGUCAUCGGCCUCAGGACGAUGGGGCAUCGCAAUGAGCUGGAAGACACAGAAGAAUUCUACAAUUAUCUGCAGAUACUGGGCAAGUACCAGGAGAAGCUGCCCAUCACGAUGGAAUCAAAUUCCAUGCGUUUCUUAACCCACCAAUAAUUCUUCUCCGCUGUCCGAUCCGGCAACUUUGCGGCGCUGACUCAGGUGAUGUAGAAGCUCGCCAAAGACGAGCCCUCCUCAAAUGGGUCGCUGGUCUCCGCAUACAAUAAUAUGGAGGAGGGAGAUGUGGGUGAGGUUAGGGUCACUGGAGCAAGCAGACUGGUUUAGGGUUUGUUUUAAUUUAGUAUUUAAGCCUUUUUUAAUAUUCGAUUCUUUUUAUCGUCACGUCAUCAAAACACAGGAACUUUAUAUGUGCUAUAUUAUCACUUAAUAGAUUAAUUUACUGUAUGAAA